AUAAUCUCCCGAGAUCAAGUCAGCAACUAUCUUGCCAUUUCUCUCUCAUCCUUAUCUUGACUCGGCACCGCUGUAUCUCGGCCUUCCCAAUUGUUGCUAAAAUUGACGAUCUCAUGCUUUCAUUCUAUAUAACUUGCAGCGUAGCUUGAAGUAGAACAUUUUAGUUCAUCGAUAUUGAUAUUUGACCUACAGGUUUACAAGGUUAGUUCUCUUAAAACCCUAAAUCAGUUAUGUAUUUGAAUUUUUUACAGGUGGACGCUAAAAAUAUAGCUUCGGCCAUCAGCAAUGAAGUUAGGAAGUUAGGAUUCCUCAAUUUCUUUUGAUUCCACCGUCAGAUAACCUUCAUCACCAUCGAACAAAUCACCGUUCACCGUUGCCUCCUUCUACUCUCUUUAUCUCCAUCGGUUGAUAUGGAAUUAUCACCUACUUAUGUUCUCUCCAACUCGAUCGCAGAAGAGAUUCAUAAAGAGAGAGCAGUUGUCAUUGCCAUCGUCGAUCUGAAGGUUUUGGAGGGGGUGGUGUGUGGCGUUGAGCCAACGACAGCGCUCCCCAGUCUGGUAGUACCAGAACCCUAAAUGGAUUUAUGUUUUCUAGAAAAAGGAAGAAACAUAAUGGAAAACCUCACCAGACCUUGAUUUUGAGGUUUAACCCUAGGUAACGUUUCUAACCUUGAAGUAUCUAUCUUUAUAAAAUCUCUUUAACCUGUCACACCAACCAGGACAACCACCGCUACACACAUGCACCAUCACACACUACUUGUCUAUGUCUAUGCUCACACACUCAUCACUCUCUUUAUUCUUAUCUGUUCUGAUUUUACUUUUUUUCCAAAAUGAACGUGAACAAUUUAUGGGGUUCACUGUGCAAAUAGAGUUUUUCCAACGAGAAUAGAAAUUGGUUUUGUUUGUUUCUUCAGUUUAUUACAUCAGUAGUAGAUACUGAGUGGGGUAUCUAUGGUUCAGUUUUGUUUUUUUUUUUUAAGCCAUCCUCAGAUGUACCUGUCCCCUCUAAGAUUCUCUAUGUACACACUCCACCUUCAUCCCCUUUGUUACCAGGUAAGUUGCAUAUUACAUAAGUUUCCUUUGUUGCUUGGUGAUUUAAUGCUUAAACUUUUUAUCUUGAUAGGUCUGAUUUUCUAGAUGAUUUAAAAUAUCCACUAAUGGUUUUUUGUUAAGUCAAGUGUGAGGUUAGGAGUUAUUUUUCUGGUUUUUGCUUUUAUUUCAUGCCUCUUCUUUGUUGUGUUAUGAUAGGUAUUGACGAAAUUGCCCCUGAAUUUAUGUACCUGCCCAAGUUAUGUUGUAGAUGCUCGCUUUCGUUAAACACAUUGUACAUGUCCAGUUUAUAUUGUAGAUACUCAAUUUUAGACGAAAUUGUCCUUGUGUUUUGUAUAUGUAUCCGAGUUGUGGUAUCUGCCUAUUGGAAGUCUUUAUAUAAAAUUAUAACGAACUUCAAGACUUUCAAGUGCAUGUUGACAUUUUUUUGGCAGAUCCAACCAUAAGUGAUCUAUUGAGGUUCUGCUUUUGGUGAGUUUCUUUUGUGGUUAUGUUAGUAAGGUUUUUAGACCAAUUCAAGGUUAAAGUUCAUACUGAUCUCUAAAUUUCUAAUUGUGUUAAUCGACUUUUUGUUUGUGGGUUUGGUAUGGUACGUAGAGUUUGAUAUAAAUAAAUCUGCAAAUGAAGGCCCAAAAUCUGUAUAUGAAGGUUUGAAAUCAACAAACCCUCCAUUUUCUUUGUUUUUAUUUGGGUUUUUUUUGUAGGUAAUGGGUUUGAUUUUUUGUUUAAAGGCUUUAAGUUUUGCUACCAACUAGAUGUUCUGGUGCAUAAUAAGUUUGAUUUUUGUUUUUUGAGUGGAUUAUCUAUUUUUUUUAAUACAGUUGAUUUUAUAGUGUUAGAUUAUUUUAAGAUGCAUAAUUGUGCUGGCAUUUACUAGAUUAUUUGUUGGGUUGAUCUUUUUAACUAAAGCUAUUUUUUCAAAGGCUUUUGAUCAAUAAUAACUGACAUCUCUUUCUGGAUUUUUACUUUUGGAAGGUGAUAUAUCAAGUUUACAAAUGUGUAAUUGGAUGAGAAAUCUAACACGAGCUUUCAGAUUUCAGUCUUGCUAGAGAAUGACCACAAGGGGCAUACUUAUGUAUUUAAAAUGGUAAGGCUUUUCAUAAUUUCGGUUGCACGACUUCAUUAUAAUUGUGUCAAAUUUUCUGAUGCCUGAAAAAAUACCCUCAAUUGACAUUUUCUUAAAAUUAUAAUGUGUUAAUAAGCCAGAUAAAUUCUUGAUGUUAUCAGGUUCAAAGCAAAAAGCUUAUUUCCGAUGUUUGGUUAAGUUUAUCUUGGUAAUCUUUAUUCCACCUUAAAAGUGUUGUUUUUGGUUUUCUAACAAAUUUAUUUUAAUGUAGGACAUAAUGGCUUAGAGCAACAAGAAAUGGAACAUACAGACUCUUGAUUGACCAUAUUUUAGCAUCGGUUUAUAAACAUUUCUCAAAUAUAAGGUUAAUGGAUUUUUAUAAUGGGGUGGUGUGGUGUGUGCAGGUCAAAAAAAAAAAAAAAAAAAAAAAAAAAAAAAAGUCUUUGGAGCUAAUCCCGUGGUUGGUGAAACUCUUGAUGGAAGGAAGGCUUAAGAUGAUGCUAGAAGAUAUUAUAAUAUAACUUAUUUAUUUACGAUCAAUUUAUCAUGUUACUUAAACUUUUCGUUGAUCUAAUAUGUAUAACUUUAUUACAAAUCAAAAACAUUCAUUGAGAAUGAGAUACA